UACGUAGGGGGCAAGCGUUGUCCGGAAUCAUUGGGCGUAAAGCGCGUGUAGGCGGCCCGGAAAGUCUGGUGUGAAAUCUUGGGGCUCAACCCUAAGCUGUCACUGGGUACUAUCGGGCUUGAGUCUGGAAGAGGAGUGUGGAAUUCCUGGUGUAGCGGUGGAAUGCGCAGAUAUCAGGAGGAACACCGAUGGCGAAGGCAGCACUCUGGUACAUGACUGACGCUGAGACGCGAAAGCGUGGGUAGCAAACAGG
rnacentral:rRNA from 1 species